AGGACACUCUAUACGGAGUUACAAAGGACGACAUUAGACGAAUCAUCUGGAAAGAUGAAUCAAAGAAGGUAAUAAUCCUGUAGUCGAAAAUGUUGUCUCUCUUGAGUGGAUCCUGAGUACGACGGAGCACGUGAAAUUCCGUCGGAAUCUGGGAGGACCAUCUCCUAAGGCUAAAUACUCUCUAGUGACCGAUAGUGAACCAGUACCGUGAGGGAAAGGUGAAAAGCACCCCGGAAGGGGAGUGAAAUAGAACCUGAAACCGUGUGCUUACAAGUAGUCAGAGCCCGUUAAUGGGUGAUGGCGUGCCUUUUGUAGAAUGAACCGGCGAGUUACGAUUUGAUGCAAGGUUAAGCAGUAAAUGUGGAGCCGUAGCGAAAGCGAGUCUGAAUAGGGCGUUUAGUAUUUGGUCGUAGACCCGAAACCAGGUGAUCUACCCUUGGUCAGGUUGAAGUUCAGGUAACACUGAAUGGAGGACCGAACCGACUUACGUUGAAAAGUGAGCGGAUGAACUGAGGGUAGCGGAGAAAUUCCAAUCGAACCUGGAGAUAGCUGGUUCUCUCCGAAAUAGCUUUAGGGCUAGCCUCAAGUGAUGAUUAUUGGAGGUAGAGCACUGUUUGGACGAGGGGCCCCUCUCGGGUUACCGAAUUCAGACAAACUCCGAAUGCCAAUUAAUUUAACUUGGGAGUCAGAACAUGGGUGAUAAGGUCCGUGUUCGAAAGGGAAACAGCCCAGACCACCAGCUAAGGUCCCAAAAUAUAUGUUAAGUGGAAAAGGAUGUGGCGUUGCCCAGACAACUAGGAUGUUGGCUUAGAAGCAGCCAUCAUUUAAAGAGUGCGUAAUAGCUCACUAGUCGAGUGACACUGCGCCGAAAAUGUACCGGGGCUAAACAUAUUACCGAAGCUGUGGAUUGUCCUUUGGACAAUGGUAGGAGAGCGUUCUAAGGGCGUUGAAGCAUGAUCGUAAGGACAUGUGGAGCGCUUAGAAGUGAGAAUGCCGGUGUGAGUAGCGAAAGACGGGUGAGAAUCCCGUCCACCGAUUGACUAAGGUUUCCAGAGGAAGGCUCGUCCGCUCUGGGUUAGUCGGGUCCUAAGCUGAGGCCGACAGGCGUAGGCGAUGGAUAACAGGUUGAUAUUCCUGUACCACCUAUAAUCGUUUUAAUCGAUGGGGGGACGCAGUAGGAUAGGCGAAGCGUGCGAUUGGAUUGCACGUCUAAGCAGUAAGGCUGAGUAUUAGGCAAAUCCGGUACUCGUUAAGGCUGAGCUGUGAUGGGGAGAAGACAUUGUGUCUUCGAGUCGUUGAUUUCACACUGCCGAGAAAAGCCUCUAGAUAGAAAAUAGGUGCCCGUACCGCAAACCGACACAGGUAGUCAAGAUGAGAAUUCUAAGGUGAGCGAGCGAACUCUCGUUAAGGAACUCGGCAAAAUGACCCCGUAACUUCGGGAGAAGGGGUGCUCUUUAGGGUUAACGCCCAGAAGAGCCGCAGUGAAUAGGCCCAAGCGACUGUUUAUCAAAAACACAGGUCUCUGCUAAACCGUAAGGUGAUGUAUAGGGGCUGACGCCUGCCCGGUGCUGGAAGGUUAAGAGGAGUGGUUAGCUUCUGCGAAGCUACGAAUCGAAGCCCCAGUAAACGGCGGCCGUAACUAUAACGGUCCUAAGGUAGCGAAAUUCCUUGUCGGGUAAGUUCCGACCCGCACGAAAGGCGUAACGAUUUGGGCACUGUCUCAACGAGAGACUCGGUGAAAUCAUAGUACCUGUGAAGAUGCAGGUUACCCGCGACAGGACGGAAAGACCCCGUGGAGCUUUACUGUAGCCUGAUAUUGAAAUUCGGCACAGCUUGUACAGGAUAGGUAGGAGCCUUUGAAACGUGAGCGCUAGCUUACGUGGAGGCGCUGGUGGGAUACUACCCUAGCUGUGUUGGCUUUCUAACCCGCACCACUUAUCG
rnacentral:rRNA from 1 species